rnacentral:rRNA from 1 species
GGCGAACGCUGGCGGCGUGCUUAACACAUGCAAGUCGAGCGGUAAGGCCCUUUCGGGGGUACACGAGCGGCGAACGGGUGAGUAACACGUGGGUGACCUGCCCUCAGCUCUGGGAUAAGCCUGGGAAACCGGGUCUAAUACUGGAUAUGACUCCAUGACGCAUGUUGUGGGGUGGAAAGCCUUGUGCGGCUGAGGAUGGGCCCGCGGCCUAUCAGCUUGUUGGUGGGGUGANGGCCUACCAAGGCGACGACGGGUAGCCGGCCUGAGAGGGCGACCGGCCACACUGGGACUGAGACACGGCCCAGACUCCUACGGGAGGCAGCAGUGGGGAAUCUUGCGCAAUGGGCGAAAGCCUGACGCAGCGACGCCGCGUGGGGACGAAGGCC